rnacentral:rRNA from 1 species
UACGGGGGGAGCAAGCGUUGUUCGGAUUUACUGGGCGUAAAGGGCGCGUAGGCGGUCGUGACAAGUCACUUGUGAAAUCUCCGGGCUUAACUCGGAACGGUCAAGUGAUACUGUCGGACUAGAGUACAGAAGGGGCAACUGGAAUUCUCGGUGUAGCGGUGAAAUGCGUAGAUAUCGAGAGGAACACCUGCGGCGAAGGCGGGUUGCUGGGCUGAUACUGAGCUGAGGCGCGAAAGCCAGGGGAGCGAACGGG